UGAAUAAUACAAAAUCAGAAUAACAAAAUAAUAAAUGAGCCCAUUUCACAAAUUUGGGCCUAAAUCACACUCAAAAUCUCAAUCAAGCCCAAAUCCAAGCAAUAACUAAUAAAUCCAACCCAAUUGAAAUCAAGCCCAAACCCAAGUGAUACAAAUAAACAAGCCCGAUUGAAAUUAAGCCCCAAACCCAAUUGAUACUAUUAAACCAACCCUCUUAACUAAUAACCCAUUCAA
rnacentral:lncRNA from 1 species